UCUUAGUAUUGUCUAUGGCAGGAUAAUUUUUUGGCUUUUUGUAGCUGCUACUAGUGGCCCUGUGUGUUUUCACCCUAAAUGUUGUGUAAAAUAAACAGCAAAUUCCUCAACGUUUGUGCGCCUUCCAAAUUCCACCUUUGGCGGCAUUAGAAAAGUAGAAUGCAUGAUAAGUGCACCUUUUUCCUUUUGAUGUGUGGUGAAUUUGAAUGUUGUUUCUUUGCUGUAUUUUUACACAACAGUAAAUAUUCCCCGUAGUGUCAAUCAGUCGUUCAAGUGUCCAUUGCUAAUUGAUGUGAAAGGGAUAUGCUCUUAGUCAGAGAGGAUCUGGAUAAUUGGCUAUAUAUAUUAUAUUCCCUGAAUAUCGCAUAAUCAUCUUUUAGCUUAGGUAGGGAGUCAUCAGUUACCAGAGAGAGAGUCUCAUAGUAGUAAAGCAAGCAAGUCUUUAUAAAGUUCAAGAAUGCAAUUGAAACAUACAUGUUAUCUUCUGGACCUGUUUUCCCAAUACUUAGCUUUUCUUGCUAACUGUUUAAACUUUUUUUCCUAGAUACAACAAUUUAUUUUUUGUGGAGGAAGAGUUAUCUUCUAUGAAAGGAAUGCUGUCUUCCAUCUCUAAAACAGUCAUUUUGGAGUACACAAGCCUGGCCCACAAAAGUUUUGGAAGGUCGAAGAGGCUAGAACAUUACCGGGUGGAUGGAGCCAGGGCAUACCUAAUAAUGCACAGCUAAGACUUCAUGACAGAACAGUUAGAUGAAUACAGUUACCAUACUUCUUGCUGAAUGCAGUAUUUAGUAAGUGGAUCUGAGAUUUCUCUUGGG